UGUGCCUAGCAGCCUCCGAGGAUGGCCGAGCUGCCACGGAUGGAAGAAACCGUUUAUUUUUCCUGUGAGCCGCUCUGGAGCCUUUCAAAGGAGAUUAGCCACAAGGAGAAGCAUCCAGACUGGCCCUGAAGCAAGAGAAAAUCUGGUAAGACAGAAGAAAGAACUGUCACUGAGUGGCAUCGGUCGAAAGAGGAGGAACCCCAAGUCCUAUGGAUUCUGGGAUUUAUGGCUUGGUGAGAAGCCUCCGCAUAUCCUUGACUGGAUACCAGCAUCAACUUAUUGCCAAAGCAUCCUCAUCAACCUGGCUUUAAUCGCCUCCAAGCCUGAUAACCAUCGGAGGCUGAUCAUCCCUGGCAAAUUAUCUAAUCCACAUGUUGUUCAAUUUGUGUAAACCCCAGCUCAUG